GACGAACGCUGGCGGCGUGCUUAACACAUGCAAGUCGAACGGAAAGGCCCUGCUUCUGUGGGGUGCUCGAGUGGCGAACGGGUGAGUAACACGUGAGUAACCUGCCCUUGACUUUGGGAUAACUUCAGGAAACUGGGGCUAAUACCGGAUAGGAGCUCCUGCUGCAUGGUGGGGGUUGGAAAGUUUCGGCGGUUGGGGAUGGACUCGCGGCUUAUCAGCUUGUUGGUGGGGUAGUGGCUUACCAAGGCUUUGACGGGUAGCCGGCCUGAGAGGGUGACCGGCCACAUUGGGACUGAGAUACGGCCCAGACUCCUACGGGAGGCAGCAGUGGGGAAUACUGCACAAUGGGCGGAAGCCUGAUGCAGCAACGCCGCGUGCGGGAUGACGGCCUUCGGGUUGUAAACCGCUUUCGCCUGUGACGAAGCGUGAGUGACGGUAAUGGGUAAAGAAGCACCGGCUAACUACGUG
rnacentral:rRNA from 1 species